GUUUAUCAUUGCUCCUUGAAUACUCUUGAAAUAAUGACCAUGUUUAUCAAAAAUAUUUAAACCAGUGUUACUCUGUUGGUUGUAAUGGAUAGCUGCUACAUUGGACAGACAAAAUCUACACUGAUGGAACAUCAAAGAAAGACAUUGGUGGAUUUCUUUGACGAGGACGUUGAGAGCGAAUACAUGAUGAGGCUUAAACGAGAUAUAAGUGUUCCAUCUCUAAAUGAGGACGGGGCGCUCGAGCUACAGUCAGCACGACGAAGAGGACCAUCAAGAUGACAACACUCCCCGUGACUUCAGUUGAAAUCACUGCAGCUGAAACCACCAAAUCAACCACCACUACCGCUACCACUACUACUACUACUACGACAGCUGCCCCACCUACUACAUUAAAGAAGAUAAUAUGGUCGACCAUUUUCAAAAAAGGAAAAUUCCAAAUCCCUAAUUGGCCAUUCAAAAUUGACAUUACACCAUUUUAAUAUACAUGCAUAAAGACAUCAUGUGUUUGGGAAUGUGUGAGGUUGAGUAUCAAUUAAUUAGUUUAAA